UCUUUCUUUGCUGGCGACCGGCGCACGGGUGAGUAACACGUAUCCAACCUGCCCUUUACUCGGGGAUAGCCUUUCGAAAGAAAGAUUAAUACCCGAUAGCAUAAUGAUUCCGCAUGGUUUCAUUAUUAAAGGAUUCCGGUAAAGGAUGGGGAUGCGUUCCGUUAGGUUGUUGGUGAGGUAACGGCUCACCAAGCCUUCGAUGGAUAGGGGUUCUGAGAGGAAGGUCCCCCACAUUGGAACUGAGACACGGUCCAA
rnacentral:rRNA from 1 species